rnacentral:rRNA from 1 species
UCUGAAUCUGCGAACGGCUCCGCAAACCAGUUGUAAACUAUAGCAAGCAGGCUCGGAGUCGGCCCUCACGGGUUGGCUUCGGGUGAUAUGGAUAACCCUGGUAAUUCUGAGGCUAAUACAUGAACGUAAAACCUGGUCGACUGGGCUUCGGUCUGGGAGGCUGGGGGAUGUGUGAUUGCAGGCUUGGGUAACACCGGGAAAGGGCACACGUCCAGACCGCGCUAUAAAGGAUGGGACCUCUUCGGGGGACCCGCCCCAGCGGCUCUUGCUGUGUGCUUCUGACCUAUCAACUAGACGGCAGCGUAAGGGACAUGCUAUGGU